rnacentral:rRNA from 1 species
GACGUAGGGGGCAAGCGUUGUUCGGAAUUAUUGGGCGUAAAGCGCUCGUAGGCGGGACUGGAAGUCCGUGUUGAAAGACCUCGGCUCAACUGAGGGACCGGCUCGGAUACUCUAGUUCUUGAGGCAAUCAGAGGGUGAUGGAAUUCCCGGUGUAGCGGUGAAAUGCGUAGAUAUCGGUAGGAACACCUGUGGCGAAGGCGGUCUCCUGGGGCAGACUUGACGCUGAGGCGCGAAAGCGUGGGGAGCGAACAGG